rnacentral:lncRNA from 10 species
GUGAACAUCCUUGGGAAGCCACAGAGAGCAAGGCGCAGUUUUUCAUUGAUCACCACUUUCAAGAUGCUCCCAGAAUCGUGCUGUCUAGGAAGCCAUUUAAACUGGUGAGAAGCCAUCCUCUCUUGAAUGGGGGCUCCCACUGUACAUCUGGCACCCACUUCACAGAUUCUGGGGGAUGUCAACACCAGCACUGCUGAGCUGUGUGACCUUGAGCAAGACAGUUAGCCUCUCUGAACCUCAGUGUCCUUCUCUGUAGGCUGGAGAUUGAUAUACCUUCAUUAUCGGGGUAUGAGAGUGUUAUAAGGUGGGAUGGUGGAACACGCUGACUGGUCUGGGCUAUUCAAGAUCCAUGAACUGGAAGAUGCUUUCUUAUAACUCAGAGAAAAGAGAUGAAAAUGAAUCAAAGAACAGGAAGGAGACAAGCUCAGGAGAGUCACCCUAAGAAGGAUGUGUGGAAGACUUGACUGGAGGAUCAAAAUGUGUCGGGGGAAGGUGUACAAGGAGGAGUAAGGACACAGAUGUCCUGACUUCACACAGUGGGGGAUUAGAAGCCACCAUCAAACACAGAUGAAACAGGAAUAAAAGUAGUAGUACAUUACUUAAGCUUUAAAAGGGUAAGACUCCUGGGAAUUUGGAAGCUGAGACUUGAGGAGCAGAGGCAUUUAGCUGUGUAAACACAGAGCUUCAGUGGCAGCACCCUAAAUGCUUAGCUGAUAGAUCCGGAAUUAAAUACAGACCUAGAAACUGGAGUUGGAAAACUUCCUGGCAGCACUCCUUCCCUGCCAUCCCGGUGAUCCCCUUCUGGAUGGAGGGUGUGGAGCUCAGCACAUUCACGUCUGCAGUUCUCAGAGAACCAAGUGUUAAGGAAUGUCAGGGAAGGAAGAAGGCAGCCAGCCAGGAAGGGGAGGUCCUGGCCUGAGCACGCCAGGCACAGAGGGAUAGAGGGUAGGGAGGAAACUGCACCUGUCUCCAACCCUCGACCCCAGCCCCG